UAUCCACAUUUUGGUUAUUUUUCUAAAUUUCCCCUACUUGCUUUCUUUUCUUUCGGGUUUUCCAUUCAGUCUCACUGCCAUAAAAAACCCUCGCUGCCCUGAAAACUCUGCGCUUCAUCUUUUCUCUCGCUCUCAGCACCCGCAAAACCCCUCAAACCAACAAAUUCAAUUCUACAAUCUCUCACACGUAAUCUAAACCCUCAAUCCAAAAACUCGAUUUCCAAUACCAAGCGGCUAGGAUUUUUGGUAUUGGAAUUCCGGCGAACUGUUUCCGGCCGGACGCAAGCGAAAUGGACCACGCCGUUAUUACCAAUCUUCUUGAUUUUGUCCAUUAGGGUUGAAGCUCAAAUUUAAGGUUUGAAGUGGACUCCAAGGUUUCAAAAUUAGGGAGGGUUUUUGUGUAAUUUCAAUAUCAGUGACGCUUUUUUUUUUUAACAAGGCUUCAAUUCGAUCAGGGUUUCAUUCAUUUUCAAUUUCAUUUUAUGAUUUUAGUUUUAGUUUUAGAUUAAAUCUCAUUAUUUUGAUUAUAAUCCAAUGAAUUUUUGUAAAGUAGGUUAUCUGUUGGAGAGCUCGACUUCUCUCUCUGCGAUUCUACUGGUGUCUCCCUGACAAAGUCGACAAGAAAUUCUUGACAGCUUCCUAUUCGCUGCAAAAGGUCCUUCAUAUUCUCCUCCAAUUUCUUCAUCCUAAACCCUAAUUUCUCAUUUUUUAUUUUGUACAGGCGUGAGUACGAUGCGUAUUUCUACAAGGUCUUCAAGGCGUACACGCAGCUAUGGAAAUUUCAGCAAGAAAAUCGCCAGAAACUCCUCCCCUGUUCUUUCAUUGAUAUCCCCGCUCUGUCUUUCUCAAUCUUGAGAAAAGGAAGGAAGGAGGAAGAAGAAGAUGGUGGCAGAAAGGCUAGCCGAUAUUCACCUCUCUCAGACCCUGCGUAAAGCGGGAGCCUUGUGCACUGGGUACGA